rnacentral:rRNA from 1 species
CAAUAGCGUAUAUUAAAGUUGCUGCAGUUAAAAGCUCGUAGUUGGAUUUCUGGUUUGCAAUGCCUAGCCUACCGCCAUCAGGCGGUCAGUGCUGGAGCGUUCGAACCAUCCUUUUAGAUCUCGUUCCUGCCCUUCAUUGGGUUGGGUGCGCGGACUAAAUCAUUUACUUUGAAAAAUUAGAGUGUUUAAAGCAGGCGUUUGCAUUGAAUACAUUAGCAUGGAAUAAUAAUCUAGGACUUGUGUCUUAUUUUGUUGGUUUCUAAGGCCGAGUAAUGAUUGAUAGGGAUAGUUGGGGGUGCUAGUAUUCAGCGGCCAGAGGUGAAAUUCUUGGAUUCGCUGAAGACUAACUUAUGCGAAAGCAUUCACCAAGGAUGUCUUCUUUAAUCAAGAACGAAAGUUGGGGGAUCGAAGACGAUCAGAUACCAU